ACUCACAUUUCAGCAGCCAAGGAGAGGGUGAGAUGAGGAGAUUGUGACUAGAGGGAAGUGGAGAAGAAGACGAAAAAAAAGAAAGGAAGAAAAGUUGAUUUCUUGUGUUAAGAAGGUAUGAGGGUGCUUAUUUUUACUGGGCAUUCCAAGUUCAUGGCGUGUCAUGCCAGGUGAUGAAGCAGUUUACAAUGGUAAAGGUUAUUUCGAAGGCAAACAAGAUGAAGUGUUGGAGCCGUAGUUCACUUGAAGACUUAGACUAGUAGUUUUUUUUUUUUUCUUUUUCUUUUGACUUUUGGUUUGGCAAUGUUUUGUAAUCCUGUAAUGGAACACAAAUGAAUUAUCCGUGAUAUUAACUCUGGUUAUAUAUGUAUAUUAAGAUGUUUUGGUUAUC